rnacentral:rRNA from 1 species
AACGAACGCUGGCGGCAUGCCUAACACAUGCAAGUCGAACGAGACCUUCGGGUCUAGUGGCGCACGUGUGCGUAACGCGUGGGAACCUGCCCUUAGGUUCGGAAUAACUCCCCGAAAGGGGUGCUAAUACCGGAUUAUGUCUUCGGACCAAAGGUUUAUCGCCUUUGGAUGGGGCCGCGUUGGAUUAGCUAGUUGGUAGGGUAAAAGCCUACCAAGGCGACGAUCCAUAGCUGGUCUGAGAGGAUGAUCAGCCACACUGGGACUGAGACACGGCCCAGACUCCUAGGGGAGGCAGCAGUGGGGAAUAUUGGACAAUGAGCGAAAGCCUGAUCCAGCAAUGCCGCGUGAGAGAGGAAGGGCUUAGGGUUGUAAAGCUAUUUUACCAGGGAUGAUAAUGACAGUACCGGGAGAAUAAGCACCGGCUAACUACGUG